AACGGCGAGUGAGCGGCAAAGCUCAAUUUGAAAUCUGGUACCUUUGGUGCUCGAGUUGUAAUUUGGAGAGUAUUUUUUGGGACUGUACUUUGCCUAUGUUCCUUGGAACAGGACGUCAUGGAGGGUGAAAAUCCCGUGUGGCGAGGGUGCCAGUUCUUUGUAAAGGGUGCUCAAAAAA
rnacentral:rRNA from 1 species